UGGUUCUGCAGGUUUCAGCGAUGGCAGUGGAGCUCGGUUCUGGUCAUGAUAAUCCCACCUUCAAAACCCGAGAAGUGACAGAUGUGGACGUUUCUUCAGGCGACAUUUAUGAAAACUGUCAGAAACCUGAACAAUACGAACAGCAGAAACCAAAACCAAACUCUGACGUGACGCCUAAAGAAGCUGCUGCUAUGAUGCCGAGUAAGUUUGAAUAAAUUCAUUAUAAUCUGCU